rnacentral:snoRNA from 1 species
GUGUACAUUUCAUGGUCUGCUACUCUUUAUGUCAAGGAGAAAGAUAUUUCUGAUGCACUAAAUAGAUCUUUGGAAGCAAAUUCCUAAUUUAUGCUUAUUAAGCUAUUACUGUCAGCAACCUUCAGAAAAAU